rnacentral:tRNA from 1 species
GCCAGGGUGGCUUAGCCGGUUAAGUAUCUGAUUUUGGCUCAGGGCAUAAUCUCAAGGUUCAUGGGUUCAAGCCCCAUGUCAGGCU